rnacentral:rRNA from 1 species
GGGUAACCUGCCCAUCAGAAGGGGAUAACACUUGGAAACAGGUGCUAAUACCGUAUAACAAUCGAAACCGCAUGGUUUUGAUUUGAAAGGCGCUUUCGGGUGUCGCUGAUGGAUGGACCCGCGGUGCAUUAGCUAGUUGGUGAGGUAACGGCUCACCAAGGCCACGAUGCAUAGCCGACCUGAGAGGGUGAUCGGCCACAUUGGGACUGAGACACGGCCCAAACUCCUACGGGAGGCAGCAGUAGGGAAUCUUCGGCAAUGGACGAAAGUCUGACCGAGCAACGCCGCGUGAGUGAAGAAGGUUUUCGGAUCGUAAAACUCUGUUGUUAGAGAAGAACAAGGAUGAGAGUAACUGUUCAUCCCUUGACGGUAUCUAACCAGAAAACCACGGCUAACUACGUGC